rnacentral:rRNA from 1 species
GGGGACAACAUUCGGAAACGGAUGCUAAUACCCCAUAGGUGGAUUGGUCGCAUGACGAAUUCAUUAAAGGUGGCUUUGCUACCACUCAUGGAUAGCCUGCGGCGUAUUAGCUAGUUGGUAAGGUAAUGGCUUACCAAGGCAGUGAUACGUAGCCGACUUGAGAGGGUGAUCGGCCACACUGGGACUGAGACACGGCCCAG